rnacentral:lncRNA from 1 species
UGUUUUGAUCAUUAGACUUCAGACGCAGAGAGAAUUUCUCAUUCAUGGCUUCCACUUCAUCUUCGAAUCCUUCUACUCCUGUUACUCUUUCUUCUACUCUUUCCUUACCAAAAUCUUGCACUUCUCAUACUGCCAACAAAAUUGAAAACCUUGUAGAAUACUCCUACAUCCCUGAAUCCGCCCAGAUCAGUGAAUCUUCAUACCCUCU